AUUCUCCCAACCAUUCUAUGCUAUUGGUUGGCUUUGGUUAUGAAGGUCAAGAGUCAGAGGGCAGAAAAUAUUGGUUGGUAAAAAACAGCUAUGGUGAACAAUGGGGUGAAAAAGGCUACAUGAAGAUUCCCAGAGGUCAGAACAACUACUGCGGAAUUGCUUCUUAUGCCAUGUACCCUGUAUUGUGAGCUGCCUGGAGAUAACAGUGUAGGAAAAGGCAACACAUCCAGAACAGACUCAUAGUCCUCAAAGUGGUGAUUCUACUGUGCGUAGAAAACACGUGAAUCAUUAGAAAGGCAGGGUAAGAUGUUAGUUCUGUGUUAUGAUUACUCUAGUAAGAUAUGGCUGCUGGUGUAAUUGAUGCUUUGCAUUGGUUUGUAUUAAGAAAUUUUGGAAUCACUUGAUUUUAAGUUUUCAUUGUACCAAACAAUGUUUUAAGCAAUGAAAGUUAAAUUAAAAUGUAGGAUCUACC
rnacentral:lncRNA from 1 species